rnacentral:misc_RNA from 1 species
AACUUCCUUCCACUUUCUCCUUAUUGUUUGCAUUUAUUUCAUUUUCAUUUUUUUCCAUGCCUACACUUUGUUUAACACCUUCCUGUUGAAUGGUGUUUUCUUGCUUAGUACCUUCAUCGUUACCACUAGCAUCUUCUGCUUUCUUAUCAGCAGUACAUGCUUCAUCCCCUCCAGCCACUUCAUUUUCUAUAUAAUCUUCAUUCUUAGCAAGUUCUCCCUCUAAAGAUUCAAGUUCUGCUCCAUCAUGUUCUUCUUCUGAUCCAUCAUUUUUUUCCUCCACUACUUCUUCUGCACCAUCAUUUUCUUCCUCCAAAUUUUCAGCUUCUGCUACAUUAUUUUCUUCUUCUGCAACAACAGUGACCGCCGUUUGCUCAGUUACUGCUGUUUCCACAAAGACUCCAGUUUCGACGUCGUUCUCCAUCUCGCUGGAGUCUUUUGUCAAAACAGACUCAGAAGCAACAGGAGCACCUCCAGAUCUAUUAGUUGAGGCAUCGGUUUUGCCUUUUGCGCGCACCAUCACGAACCUGAA